AAAAACAAGAUGAGAGCUCACAGCUGGUUUAAUGUUGUUGAUAAACCUCUAAUUUGGGGCAAUAUUUGACACAUCAAACCAAACAGCAGCUGCCCUGUGGGUUAAGAAGGGUCCUUGGAUGCCACCAACAAGACUUAUGGACCCCAAAGGAGACUGACAUCAACAGGGGUCACUUUACAACUUGUUUGGGAGCUGGAUUGAACCAGAAGGAAGAAACUAAGACAGUGGCGGAAGACUGCAAAAGAAAAAAAGAUGGAGGAGGUUGUACUGUUGGAUGCAAGUCCAGGACCACCAAGCCAGCUACUUUGGAAACCCCCUGAUGCCCAGCUCCUUCUGGAAAGAGCUCUACCAACUCCUCAAUAUCCUGCCUGUGUCAAAGAUGGAGGCCAAGGAAACCUACUAGAAGCAGAUACGACAUUGAUAACCCAGGCCCAAGUGAGCUGAGGCCCCUUUCGUCCUUCCUGAAAAAGAUAUCACAACUUGCUAAAUAUGGCCUUACUUUCACUGCCUUCACUGGUUGUGUAGCUCCCAAAUCAAGGUGCUCCCUUCCA